UACGGGGGGGGCAAGCGUUGUUCGGAAUUACUGGGCGUAAAGGGCGCGUAGGCGGUUGGAUAAGUCAGCUGUGAAAACCACGGGCUUAACUCGUGGCCUGCAGUUGAGACUGUCUGGCUUGAGUGUGGGAGAGGAGAGUGGAAUUCCUGGUGUAGCGGUGAAAUGCGUAGAUAUCAGGAGGAACACCGGUGGCGAAGGCGGCUGCCUGGCCUGUUCUUGACGCUGAGGCGCGAAAGCUGGGGGAGCAAACGGG
rnacentral:rRNA from 1 species